rnacentral:lncRNA from 1 species
AACAACCUUGCAGUACUUCAGGUCCGCCAUUCUAGGAAUUAAUUCAUAUACCCAAAUCUACACAAUUCACAGGACAAAAGUCAUUAUUUAAGUUUUAAAGUCCACAAAACAUAACUGACAUGAACAUUAUUACCAUGUACUUGGAAAGCAUACGUGAAACCUUUAAAACUCCAGCCACCCCUUUGAGCUUCACCAUGCUUAUCCUUCUUGCCCU